rnacentral:rRNA from 1 species
UACGGGGGGGGCAAGCGUUGUUCGGAAUUACUGGGCGUAAAGGGUUCGUAGGUGGCCAACUAAGUCAGACGUGAAAUCCCUCAGCUUAACUGGGGAACUGCGUCUGAUACUGGUUGGCUUGAGUGCAGGAGAGGAACGCGGAAUUCCAGGUGUAGCGGUGAAAUGCGUAGAUAUCAGGAGGAACACCGAUGGCGAAGGCAGGUCUCUGGGCUGACACUGACGCUCAUGCACGAAAGCGUGGGGAGCAAACAGG